rnacentral:rRNA from 1 species
GGGCCCGCACAAGCAGUGGAGCAUGUGGUUUAAUUCGAUGCAACGCGAAGAACCUUACCAGGCCUUGACAUCCUGCGAAUCUCUUGGAAACGAGAGAGUGCCUUCGGGAACGCAGUGACAGGUGGUGCAUGGCUGUCGUCAGCUCGUGUCGUGAGAUGUUGGGUUAAGUCCCGCAACGAGCGCAACCCACGUCGUUAGUUGCCAGCAUUUAGUUGGGCACUCUAGCGAGACCGCCGGUGAUAAACCGGAGGAAGGUGUGGAUGACGUCAAGUCAUCAUGCCCCUUACAUCCUGGGCUACACACGUACUACAAUGCUACGGACAAAGGGCAGCAAACUCGCGAGAGCUAGCA